GACACGGAAGAUUCUGCCUGUGAAUUUAAUACCAAAGACAGUCAGGAUCUCGGUGAGAGACAGAAGCAAAGGACAAACCACCAGCUAAGCCCUCACCAGGACGCAGCCCUUGAAGGAGUCAAGAGCAGCUGAGAUCCACAGGAUGAGAAAAUGGCUCUUCUCUCCUUUUUUCCUCCUUCUCCUUUCUCGACUCUCUGAGCCAGCUGGGGCAAUGCCACAAUUCAAGGCGUCUGGAGACGGAAUCCAGCUCGCUGCCUUGUGAUCUGCAUGUCAAGGUGAAACUGCAAUAAGAUAAUAAUGUCAGUAUCCCCAGAAGGCAGGCGGUAAAAGAUACUAAUUGCAUUUCACUGAAGGCUUCAGAAACACUCAGCAGCUGGAAAGCUGAGGAGAAUUUUGAUGCUAUUCUUAUAAGGGAAGAUUUUUUUCCCCCCUUACACUGUUUGUAAAUCUAUUACAGAACAUGGGGAGUGAAAGAGGGGGAAGGGAAUGUAUAAAACCAGUUAAAGGCUUAAUGUUUCCCAUUAUAUUUUGUGAGCUGUAGGUGGUCUAGAGCUUAUAAAAAUGUAUCACAUUCCCUUGUAAUCAACCAUAAUAAUUUAUUAUUAUUAUUUAUUAUGAUUUGCUGUUAUU